rnacentral:pre_miRNA from 9 species
UCUCGAUAGCGUAAAAGUUAACUCUAAUUUGCCAGUUGGAACGUUUGUCUAUGUUUGCCACUAGGGGCGCUGUUCCAACUGCAUACAAAUUUUCGUUAACUUUUACGCUAUCGA